GAAAAACAUAAUGGAAGUCUAAGUCUCAAAGUCGUCAUCUUAGACAUACGAAUAAAUUAGGACACGGACCAUAAUUCAUCACAUAGAAUAUAGCUAAGUCUAUUACAAUACUUUCAAUAAGGAAAUCUAAACAUCAAGACGUCCUCAAAUCUAGUGACGACAUACCAACUCUUUACUUGAAUGAAUCACUAAUCCAAGCUUCCACUUCGAGACUUCUCAAACGCGACCUAUACCUUGAUAAGAAGGAGAACAAACCCUAAGACAAGAAAAAUUCACAAGAUGUGUAGAGUGGGUGUCCAAGUUCAAAUCGCCAUCAGAGAAGGCAAGUCAUUGCAAUGAAG
rnacentral:misc_RNA from 1 species